GACGAACGCUGGCGGCGUGCCUAAUACAUGCAAGUCGAGCGAACAGACGAGGAGCUUGCUCCUCUGACGUUAGCGGCGGACGGGUGAGUAACACGUGGAUAACCUACCUAUAAGACUGGGAUAACUUCGGGAAACCGGAGCUAAUACCGGAUAACAUGUUGAACCGCAUGGUUCAACAGUGAAAGACGGUCUUGCUGUCACUUAUAGAUGGAUCCGCGCCGCAUUAGCUAGUUGGUAAGGUAACGGCUUACCAAGGCAACGAUGCGUAGCCGACCUGAGAGGGUGAUCGGCCACACUGGAACUGAGACACGGUCCAGACUCCUACGGGAGGCAGCAGUAGGGAAUCUUCCGCAAUGGGCGAAAGCCUGACGGAGCAACGCCGCGUGAGUGAAGAAGGUCUUCGGAUCGUAAAACUCUGUUAUUAGGGAAGAACAAAUGUGUAAGUAACUAUGCACGUCUUGACGGUACCUAAUCAGAAAGCCACGGCUAACUACGUG
rnacentral:rRNA from 1 species